GUCGAGAAUCUUUCACAAUGGGGGCAACCCUGAUGGAGCGACGCCGCGUGGAGGAUAAGGUCUUCGGAUUGUAAACUCCUGUCAUGCGUGAACAAGGUUGCUUGGUUAAUACCUGGGCAAAUUGAUGGUAACGCAAGAGGAAGAGACGGCUAACUCUGUGCCAGCAGCCGCGGUAAUACAGAGGUCUCAAGUGUUGUUCGGAAUCACUGGGCGUAAAGGGUGCGUAGGUGGCGUGGUAAGUCAGAUGUGAAAGCCCGGGGCUCAACCUCGGAACUGCAUCCGAUACUGCCAUGCUAGAGUACUGGAGAGGUGACUAGAAUUCUCGGUGUAGCAGUGAAAUGCGUAGAUAUCGAGAGGAAUACCAAAGGCGUAGGCAGGUCACUGGACAGUUACUGACACUGAGGCACGAAGGCCAGGGGAGCGAACGGGAUUAGAUACCCUAGUAGUCC
rnacentral:rRNA from 1 species